rnacentral:pre_miRNA from 1 species
GGGGGGAGGCCGGAUCCUGGGCUGUGUCCCGGCGCCCGGUGCUCCCGGCCUGCGCUGUUGGAUUCACGCUCCCGGGCCGUGCAGCCCCCU